CAUUUCCGGCGAUCCCACCUUUGCCUGCAUCGACGGGCUACCACUGCGUGCUCCUCCACUGCCAAACCCUCGUGAACCAGGCCUUCAGCGUCGAGAGUCGUCACGCCUCGUCCAUCAUCAGCAUCUAACAAAACCGCCGCGCGACAGUCGCUGGCAAUUCCUUCUCCGUAGUGGCCGCCGCGAGCACCUCCUUGUGGCGCCUCAGCUAGGGUUCGAAAUAGAGCGUGUUUGCUCCGCCGGAUUCACUUCCGUUCUUCUCCGCUCUUCGCCACUGCUCAGCUCUCAAAUUAACUUUUUCAGCUCAAGAAGAGAGAUAUUUGUUGUUGUCCUUCAUUCCCACGAAACAUGAUUCAACAAAUAUUUGUCCUGGAGAGGGACUCCAUGGGCAUUAUAGCUACUAAGAAUUCUCCAUCAACAUUGAGGUUGGUACUUUUAGUCAUGCUGCAACAUGGGGACUGUAUACAUUUGUUCAGUUAAUUUAGAGAAGCCAAUAAGAGUUUGUGUAAAUAUCAAAGUUGUCGGAAGAGAGAGUCAUCAAUGUUAAAUAAACUUAAAAUAAUGAAAGGGAUUUAUUUGUAAUUUUUUAGAGAACGUUUUGGUUAAAUAGAUGAUUAUAUUUUUAUUGA